AUCCAUGUUUCUUUCUCUCCUCCUCCUCCCUCCCUCCUUUCUACUCUCUAAAAAAAAAAGUUCACACCUGCAUGCAAGAGCAACCUGGAGAGACUUUGACAGCUCAGGUCAGCAUAAUACCUGCAGCUGCCACUCGCCUUUCCUAUAUCU
rnacentral:snoRNA from 1 species